rfam:TPA: Bos taurus chromosome 5, whole genome shotgun sequence.
UCCUUGAUGGCCCAGUGGCUAAGACUCUGCACUUCCACUGCAGGGGACGCAGGUUUGAUCCCUAUUCAGGGAA